UGUUAAAAAAUUUAAAUAAAUAUAUUUAUAUUUAAAAUGAAAAGAUAUGAAAAGAUAUUAUGAUUCAAGUAUAGCAAAGAUUCUAUAUAUUAUUUGGUUAAUAAAAUACAUUUAAUAAAAAACUUUAAAUAAUGAUACAAAUUAAAUAAUCACACAUGAAAGAAGUCAUGACUUCUAUUUUAAUAGAUAAGAUUGUGUUGUUAGGAAUUCCACUUUAAAACAAUGUAAUUAAGGCCAGACAAAUUUUUUUAGAAGAUUCAAGUUCAUUCUAUAAUACUAUUGAAUUAGAUAAUCAGCAAAAUAAUAAUAAUAAUAAUAAUAAUAAUAAUAAUAAUAAUAAUAUAUCGAAUUAGUGACCCACAGAAUGUCACGGGUCUCUUAAUUUUUUUACCUUUGUUGGGUUUUUGGAUAAUUUUAAGAAAAUAAUGAAUUCGUUUAUAAAUAUUUUCUUUGACAUUAAACUGGCUCAGUUUGAAACAUUAAAUAAUUUGGUUGUUAGAAAUUUAGCAUUUAAUAUACAAAAAAGUCGAUAUAUGUUGCUUCAAUUACCAAAAAGGUUGGCUCAGACUUCCAGGGUCAUCAAGGGCGAAUCCAACACUAUUAAACCAACUAAUUUAGCUGAUUUCCUUGGAACUUUACAUACAAAACGUUUAUUAUUUAUACAAUUACGGAGGCACAUAUAAAACGUUUAUUUUUACAAAUUGGUUUGAUUUAUUUACUUUUACAAAAUUAAGUUGAUUUAUUUAUUUUUUUUAUUUUUCACAUAGAACUUAUUUUUACUUUAAUCUCUUACGUUAUUAUUCUCUAAUCAGUUUUGUGGUAUUUUAUCGUUUUGAGCAUUAAAGAAUCUUGUAGUACAAUAUUUUAGCUGAAUUCUUUCUGCAAAUAUAAUUUCAUCUUUUAUUUUAAAUAUUUAUAGUACAUUAUAGUUUUAAAUAUUAGUUUAUGUAUAGUACUUUAAUGUAUAUUACUUUUACAUAUAGUAUUUAACUGUUUUUAUAUGUUAUUUCCUAUAAUUUUAUUUUACAAGAUUGUAUUAUUAUUAUUACAAAUAACCUUUAUAAAUUCAGUUCUAAGAUAAAUAGUAUCUUCAACUUUUUCUAAAAAAAAAAUUGUUGCAUAAGCUCCCAUUUCUCCUACUCAACUCAAAUUUACUUGUUUCACUAAAACUUUAAUUCAUAUUUCAAGGAGCAUGAUCGGUGGUACCUCCACGAUGAACAAUUUUUUUCAGCACCACUGUAAUCAAUAUGUUCUUCAGUUUGUUCCCCACUUAAAUAUGGUUUCUUUGGUACGGAUGGUUAAGAGGAAGAACUUGGUGAUGAUAAUCAAACCAACAUAUCUUCAUACCAUGCUUCAGUUGACAAGACAAUAUUGACAAGAUAACCUCCAUGUAUAGUCCAUCUAGACAGCAUCCCAUAAGCAGAUAGGUCACUUAUGGUCCAUAGAAGCAUUGUUUGCAUCAUAAAAUUGGUUUUCGUUAAACAAUCAUAUGUGUUUACCCCUACUAACUACAAGGCCUUCGACUCAUGUGUCAAUGGUUGAAGAAAAAUAUUUCGCGACUGUUUUGGAUGUUUUAGGACCAUGUAUUAAUAUGCUCAUGAAUAGAAAUUCUCAUUCUAUGCACAAAUUCGGUGGAAGGUUAUACAGCGUAAAAAUGACUGGUCAUAACGAAUAUUGUCUCCCAGAUAUUUCAAAUAUACUAAAUCCAUAUGUGCACAACCAAAGAUAAACAUUUCGAUAUUUCUAGCGAAAUCUAGGUAUACAAUAUCGAAAUGUUUCAACACUCUUGAAUCUAAUGGAUGAGUGACCUCUUCAUCACUCUAGACAUGUUCAGCAUGACAUCUCAUCGCUCCAGCAGUCCUUACCGCUUUCCUGCGUGAUCGGUGUACAACCAUCUUUGAACAUGAAUAUCUCCAGUCCGUUGAAAAAUUCCUUUGUCACUCUCAUGUUGGAAUCUUUAUGCGUAUACAUCCAAUUCCAUAACUCGUAUAUAUUGCCAUCACUUGAUAUUUUUUGUGCUUCACGUUCUUAUGUUUUUUUCUUUGGUGUGUAUUUCAAUCUCGAGAAUUUCAUAUUUAUAGAAAAUAUUAGUCACUGGUAGGUAAGAAUUUAACAACUAAUUUGCAACGAAAUUGUUUACAAGUCUUAUACUUUGAAAUAACAAAGACUUUAUGAGGAAAUAAUUUAGGUGUUGCUCACUAAAAACACAUUUUCACCAACCACUUCACUUUUAUUUGAAUCUUCAUCGUUAAACAAAUGUAAAAUCUAUCUUUAUAAAAUACUCCUUCUUUACAACGGCUUUACAAAGAAUCAUUUCAUUCAUCGUAAAAUUAUAUAAGUUUUAAGAUGAAUAUUUCUUCUCGUAAAUUUACUUCGACUUUACGAUGAAUCUAUUUUUCGACGUAAACGAUUCGCUAAAUUGUUGUUAGUUUACGACGAACGUAAACUUUCGUAGUAAAUCGUAUAUUUUCUUGUAGUGGUUGUUCGAUAUAUGAGAUAUCAUAUAUAGAUAUUUGAAUAAAAUAUUUCACCUUCUCUAAGUUAACUUAUAAAAAUACAUAGUAUAAAUAAUUUAUUGUUUAUUUGAUUUAUUAUAAAAAAAUUUGUCAGCAAUUUAUUAUAAUUACAUUCAUAAUAGUAUGUUUUUGAAAUAAUAUAUUUAUAUUUAUAUGUUAAUAUGUAAAAUUAUAAUAUAUUAUAAUACUUUUAAAAUAUAAAUGUUGUAUAAAUAGUAAACUUUUAUAUAUCCUGAAAAUACAUACAGUUUUAUAUCUAUAUUUAUAGAUUAUUGGUUAUUCUAUUAAUUUUGUGUAAAGUUUGAACUUUAACAUUUACAAUUCACUUAAUUUUAUAUAUUUAAUGUUUGUGUUUUCAAACUUUUAUAUAAAUAAUUUUUUUAAUAAAUUUUAUAAAUAAAAAUAAAAUGAACAUUAUGUAGAGAGUUAUUUUCACUUUAGGACACUUCUCAUCUUUUUAUUACAUUCUGAGUCACUUCUUGCUACUGAAACCGUUUAUAUGACUAAAACCCAAAACUAAGUUCAUUUUCUAACUAAGUGGUCCAACAAAAUUUAAUAUGUUGUCACUUUCUUUACCAACCAACUUUUUAGCUACCGACAUAAUUGAAACGAUGGAAGACGCGACAGUAAGGAUGAAACCGAUGCAAAAGAGGCAACCGUUCUCGACGCAAGAGGAGCUUUGGUCUCGACGCAGGCGGAACUGCUACAGUGGGGUCAAAGCUGAUAAUGCCACAGCAGAAGAUUUAGCGGUGAGACGCAGUGGUGAUUUUGCCAUAUUUGGAAAAAAUGGAUUCAACAAAAUAUCACUUUUUAGUUUGAAAUCGAUUAUUUGCAAAUAUAUAUUUUUGCAGCCAAAAAAACAUGUAAACACACAAAAUUAGGUGAUUUAGGAAGAAACCAUGGUUGAUGGCCGUCCAAAAUUUACAGAAACCCUCAACGUUCGUAGGUAAAAGAUGAGUUAGUUACGAUUUUCCCAUUAAUGAAAAAAAAAAAAACAAAUUGAGAAAAAGAGAGUUUGACGAUUCGAACUUGGGAUGCUAUACAUACUCUGCUAUUACCACUUAUGUGUGAACCAGUUAAUAUACAAACAACUUCAUACAACUAUCAAGAAAAAAAAUCAAAACUAAAAAGUAUGCAAGAUAUCACAUUUUGUAAGUAGUAUGAGAUGGUUUAAGAAUUUGAAAUAUUUUUUAAUAAAGAAUUUGAGAUUUUUUUUUGGCAACUACCGGUUCGAAUAAAGAUCACAAAUGUAACCACUUAAAUAUUGUAAUAUAUUAUUUCACUUUAAGAAAAUAACUAGGGAGUCAUGAUAAUCAAAAUACAAAUUUGAACAAAUUUACAUGUGUACAAAGAUUAUAUCUGUACAUGUGUACAUCUUCACAUGUAUACACUAUCUUCUUCUUAAAUAAUAAAGUAGAGUUUUGUCGCUCAUUCCUUGCGCCACGUCAUCAGGUAGAGGAGGGCAAAUUCUGACACGUGGCACUCCCAAAUAAACGGACUGGGCUUUUAUUAAAUUUUGUUAUUAAACCAAGAAUUAUGUCAAGUCCAAAAUUAUGUGAUUAGGGUUAUUCUUCUUCGUCGUUCUUCUUCUUCCCUGCCUCUUCGUUUCCUUUUCCCUGCCUCUUUGCUCUGACAUUUAUUCUGAGUUUUCCAUUCAUCAAUCCACUCUUCAUGCAUUAUGAUUUCGAUCUAUCUCUUCGUUCACCCUGUAAACGCCUCGAACUCCAUCUAUAAAUAUCGGCCCUUGCUUCCAUUCACAUCACAACUCAAACAAUCUACUCAAACAUACGAUCUCCUAGAAGCAACAUAUUCAGAUGGCGAUUAAAUCUCCUAUAGGAAAUUCUCGCCACUGCUCAUCGUUUUGCGAUCUGCCUUUCUAACCAUGUCACUCGAAAAGCCCCUACGGUAAGUCGAUUGUUUCGUCAAUAUUACAUUCACCAUUAACUCUAGAUUUUUUUUUUUGAUCUGUAUUGCAAGUUCUAAUUGUUCAUUUUCAUCACUGUGAAAAAUGUGACGAACGAUUGUUUUAAACAACUGCUUCGCAAGUAAUGUUUAAAGGUUUAUCACUUUUCUCUCCUAUAUGUCUUUUUGUUAGUAAAAAUUUAGGAAAGUGGCCUUUGUAGUGGUUGAUUGCAUGUUUUUCCUCUUUUAUUAUCUCUUUCUUUAGACCUUAAGAUUAUUUGUAUUUGGAAUACAUGAAAGAAUCCUUCACAUUUGUGUGACUCACCAUACUUAUGUUGUGUAUUUAAGUAUCCAUAGAAUAUUUCUCCUGAAAGCUUAGUUUUUUUUUCUGUCACAAUCUACAUGUCCCAUUGCUUCGUUGGACAACUCCUUUAUCUAAGUCAUAUGAAGGUUGUGUCUGUAUUUAAUUUUGAAAGUAAUCGAUUGAUAUCUUAGAUUAACUUUGUAUACAGGUUGCCUUAUACUUGUCAUCUCUUCAUUUUUUUCCUAUUUCUUUAUCUACGAAUCUACUUGAUAUAUAUUUUUCCCUUACACAUGUAGAUUUGUUUUCUGACUGGUACUUGAAGAUAUAACUCUGGUGUAUUGACUUCAGAGUUAAUAGUCUUGGAAAAUAGGACAAACGGUAACUGUAUGUGUGAGUUGUUCUAUGAUACAAGGUUCACCCAACUCAACACUUCCUUCCUUCAUCACCAAGUCUGAGUUAUAGAUAAGGAUGAGAAUUAGGAGAAGCACAAGCCAAGACCAAAACACUAAGGUUAUCUCUCUUUGAAAAACCCUUGCAGAAACGUCUCAUCCAUUAGCUUUCUUAAGGUUCACACAACAACUUAAAGGAGAGCCAGUGCCACAAGAACUGCUAGAUAGACUGUGCGAGCUCAUAGCUGUUCUUGCUGGGGGUGCAGCUACAAAAUAUGAAGCACUGAAGGUACAAAAACUUUGCUACAAGCCUACAACUAAACUUUAAGUCUUCUUUAUGUCCUUUUGUAUCAAGGCUUUAGUUUGAAUUUCUGCUUUUUGUUCCAGGAAGAAGUAUUAGCAAUGAGCCUUCUCGUAGACAAUCCCUUAGCUAGCUGACAAUAACAAACAGCUACCCGGAAGAUGUUAUUGGUGAGCUAAGUACAAUCAGAAGAACGUUCAACACGAUGGCAAAUACCGGAAAAUCGUAUAAUGGCAACUCUACGUAUAGAAAGGUCCUUUGCAUUGUUGAUUCUAUAGUGGUUGUCAUUUUCUUCUACUUGGUAUGCCAUUUUUUCCCUCAUGAUGCCCUAUAUCAUUGA